AACGCACCUUGCGCCUUUUGGUAUUCCGAAAGGCAUGCCUGUUUGAGUGUCAUGAAAUCUCAAUCCCCCUGGGUUUAUGAUCUGGGUUGGGACUUGGACUUGGGUGCUGCCGGUUACAUGGCUCGCCUCAAAUGACUUAGUGGAUCUCUCUGCAUCCGUGACAGACGUAAUAAGUUUCGUCUUGUCCCUUGCUGUCUGAGUCUGCUCCUAACCUGCCAUUGUGCACUUUUAGACUCUGACCUCAAAUCAGGUAGGACUACCCGCUGAACUUAA
rnacentral:misc_RNA from 2 species